rnacentral:rRNA from 1 species
UACGAAGGGGGCUAGCGUUGUUCGGAAUCACUGGGCGUAAAGGGCGCGUAGGCGGCUUUGCAAGUCGGGUGUGAAAUCCCCAGGCUCAACCUGGGAACUGCAUUCGAGACUGCAUUGCUAGAGUAUGGGAGAGGGAAGUGGAAUUUCCGGUGUAGCGGUGAAAUGCGUAGAUAUCGGAAGGAACAUCAGUGGCGAAAGCGACUUCCUGGACCAAUACUGACGCUCAUGUGCGAAAGCGUGGGGAGCAAACAGG